GUGCUCCCUAGCAUCCAGUUUUACCCUAAGGAUGGCAUUUGCUGCAUCCUGUGUGUCCUCCUGGUCACAGAAUCAUCACUGACUGUGGGAGGAGUUGGCUGCUGUCCACCACUGCAAAAUGAGGGUGCCACAGAGAGAGGGCAGAGCGGGAGAAAUGAGGCUGGAGCAUGCCCAGUGCAGCCGACCCUCCUCGGGCUUCCCUCUCCUUGGCAGGGAGACUGCACUUCAGAGUUGCUCUUGUUUGCAGGUGUGUGGGUUUCUGAAACUUCAGGGAAGGCCUGAAGCAGAGAAGCAGAAAAGUACAAGGUGCACUAAAGGUGGGACUGUCAGCUUGAGUCUGAGCUCACGUGGAACUUUUCACUACUGCUGCAACCAAAAUCAGGAGAUAAAACAAGGUGCAGACCAAAGAAACCAAGUCUUCAGGCUGGACUAUGGGUCUUGGUUGUCUUGGCCCUGUGGGGCAGAAGGGAUGAAGAAGGGCAGAGAAGGGCAGAAAUAGCCCUCUGAAAACUGAAUGGGGACAUAGGAGUACACAACCACCACCCAUCUGUUGAGAGGGUUUUGAAUGUUACAAUAUAUAAAUUGAAAUUUGCAGCUGCCCUCAGCUUGCACUCCCCAACCCUUUCCACCACCAUUCUUCCUUAAAUAACAGAGAAGUUUGAUGAGUAACAUCCAGACAAGGACCAGCACAGGACCUUGACAAAAGUGCACCAAGAAACAAGAUGAAAGGAGCAAAAUAUGAUGGAAGAUGUUGAAAAAUAUUAAAUUAUGUGUACACCCCUCCACUGCUGAACUCCUUCUCCUCUGAGGUGUACUCAUUUGAACCUUUUCCCUGAGGUCGGCCCUCGUUGCUUUAGGAGAGUCAGCUUGGAGGGACCUGUGAGCAAAGAAGACAAAAUCUUGGCUUUGAGUUCUAAACCAGUGUUUCUCAACUUUAAUGUGCUAAGGAACAACCUGGGGAUCAAGAGCUCCCAGGAAAUGUUCAGGCUGCUGGCUGGCUGACCACACUGAGUGGUAAGAAUCCAAGGUCGGAUGUAGGACAGGAAAGAAGAGAAAGAGAUGGGGCGCGGUGGCUCACAUCUGUAGUCCCAGCACUUUGGGAGACCAAGGUGGG